rnacentral:misc_RNA from 1 species
AUUUAGAGGAAGGAGAAGUCGUAACAAGGUUUCCGUAGGUGAACCUGUGGAAGGAUCAUUGUCGAAACCUCCCGAACUGAAUGACCCGCGAACCGGUUACCUGACCGGGGGCGGCCUCGGCCCCCCCUCCUGUGCAGGGAGGAGCCUGCUCCUCCUGGCGCACAACAACACCCGGCGCCAGACGCGCCAAGGAAACCGAACCAACGAGCGUGCUCCCGCACGGCCCGGAAGCGGUGCCCGGGUGGCGAGCCUUGCGAGAUCACGAUCCAGAAUGACUCUCGACAACGGAUAUCUCACCUCUCGCAUCGAUGAAGAAUGUAGCGAAAUGCGACACUUGGUGUGAAUUGCAGAAUCCCGUGAACCAUCGAGUCCUUGAACGCAAGUUGCGCCUGAAGCCAUUAGGCCGAGGGCACGUUUGACUGGGUGUCACGCAACGUCGCCCCAAACACACUGCCUCCCCCAGGGGGCACCGCGGGCGGGGCGGAUGCUGGCCUCUCGCUAGCCCCGCCUCGCGGAUGGUCCAAAACCGAUCCCGCGACGCACGGGGGCCGAGUAAUGCUCGAGACCGGUCACGCACGCAUGUUGUCCCCCUGUCGGGAUCCAAGACCCCCGAGGCAUCACCGCACGCUCACGGCAUGACCCCAGUUCGGGCGGAGCCACCCGCUGAGUUUAAGCAU